rnacentral:rRNA from 1 species
CAGUCGCCGCGGGAAUACGUAGGGUGCAAGCGUUAAUCGGAAUUACUGGGCGUAAAGCGUGCGCAGGCGGUUAUAUAAGACAGAUGUGAAAUCCCCGGGCUCAACCUGGGAACUGCAUUUGUGACUGUAUAGCUAGAGUACGGCAGAGGGGGAUGGAAUUCCGCGUGUAGCAGUGAAAUGCGUAGAUAUGCGGAGGAACACCGAUGGCGAAGGCAAUCCCCUGGGCCUGUACUGACGCUCAUGCACGAAAGCGUGGGGAGCAAACAGGAUUAGAGACCCGCGUAGUCCCUGUCUCUUAUAA